rnacentral:rRNA from 1 species
AUUGAACGCUGGCGGCAGGCCUAACACAUGCAAGUCGAGCGGAUGAAGGGAGCUUGCUCCUGGAUUCAGCGGCGGACGGGUGAGUAAUGCCUAGGAAUCUGCCUGGUAGUGGGGGAUAACGUCCGGAAACGGGCGCUAAUACCGCAUACGUCCUGAGGGAGAAAGUGGGGGAUCUUCGGACCUCACGCUAUCAGAUGAGCCUAGGUCGGAUUAGCUAGUUGGUGGGGUAAAGGCCUACCAAGGCGACGAUCCGUAACUGGUCUGAGAGGAUGAUCAGUCACACUGGAACUGAGACACGGUCCAGACUCCUACGGGAGGCAGCAGUGGGGAAUAUUGGACAAUGGGCGAAAGCCUGAUCCAGCCGUGCCGCGUGUGUGAAGAAGGUCUUCGGAUUGUAAAGCACUUUAAGUUGGGAGGAAGGGCAGUAAGUUAAUACCUUGCUGUUUUGACGUUACCAACAAAAUAAGCACCGGCUAACUUCGUG